AUGGAGUACGUCUUGCCCACCGUGAUCCACCAAACGUUCGGCAGGAUCAAGCGGCUGUGUACCGGGUACCGGACAUGGCCCGACCAGGUCGCGCAGUACAACCUGAUGGGGUACGUCGCCCGCCGCAGGAAGCACUCGUGGCUCAUGAAGGCGGCGGCCUGCCUGGGCUGUAGGGACCUGCUCGACCAGCUCUGGACCAUGAAGCCGCGCAAGGGUGCGUCGUCCAAGGAGAUCACCGGCCUCGUCCACGGCCACGUCGCCGGAGGGUGGACGGAGGGUCACAUAGCCGGCGCGGACUCGUUCCGGGCGUUCAACGACUACCGGGGCCAGUGGACUCUCGGCAGGGAGGUCGCCGGGGUUGGGCGCACCAGCAUAUCGUCCAUAGUGCUGGCGAGCGUGUCGAGGCCGUUCGACGAGAGCGUCCUGGUCUGGCACCUCGCCACCGACUUCUGCUUCCACCUCCUCCAGGACCAGGAGGACCCGUCCCCGUCCAGCGCCGCCGCCCGGCGCUGCAGGGAGAUGUCCAACUACAUGGCGUACCUCCUCUUCGUGAAGCCAGAGGUGCUGAUGCCUGGUGCCCGGCGCAACCUGUUCAGGGACGCGUGCGGCGAGCUCGUGGACAUGCUCGAGGAUGAUCCUCCGCGGGGGCGGCGGGGCAAGAGGGGCCUCGCGCACAAGGUCGUCCAGCUGCUCAAGAGGGACGGCGACGGCGUCGACGUCCAGGGCUCGGCAGGCGUCGGCGUCGUUCGACAGGCUUGGAGCGUCGCCGAGGACCUCAUGGACUCGCACAGGGGCGACGAGGAGAAGAUGUGGAGGGUGGUCCAGGGCGUGUGGGUGGAGAUGCUCUGCUUCUCGGCCAGCAGGUGCAAGGGCUACCUGCACGCCAAGGGCUUGGGCACGGGCGGGGAGUACCUGUCCUACGUCUGGCUCCUGCUCUUGUACAUGGGGAUGGAGACCUUGGCGGAGAAGAUGCAGAGGACGGAGCUCUACGAGGGCCCCACGUGCACGGCAGCAGCGUCGUCCUUCAGCGGCCAGAAUGUUUGA
rnacentral:rRNA from 1 species